AAUACCAGAAAUACAACGGAACCAAGACCAAGCAGAACCAUUGAUAGCAACAUACAUCCCUCCCGCAUCUUCUUGUUCUUUGCCUUUUCCUUCUUCUUUCUCUUCUCCCUCUUUCUUUUC
rnacentral:ribozyme from 13 species